rnacentral:rRNA from 1 species
UGAGUUGGGGUAAACUACGCUCCCUCCAGACGGGCGAGUAACGCGUGGUAACGUACCUUUUGGAUCGGAACCGCACACGGAAACUUGUGCUAGUGCCGGAUAAGCACUUACGGGGAAAGAUUUAUCGCCGAAAGAUCGGGCCGAGUCUGAUUAGAUAGGUGGUAGGGUAAUGACCUACCAAGGCGACGAUCACUAGCUGGUCUGAGAGGAUGAUCAGUCACAUUGGGACUGAGACACGGCCCAAACUCCUACGGGAGGUAGACGUGGGGAAUAUUGUACAAUGGGGGCAACCCUGAUCCACCCCUGCCACGGGAGUGAUGAAGGCCCUAGGGUUGUAAAGGUCUUUUGUGCGGGAAGAUAAUGACGGUACCGCUCGAAUAAGCCCCGGCUAACUUCGUGCCAGCAGCCGCGGUAAUACGAAUGGGGCUAGCGUUGCUCGUAAUCACUGGGCGUAAAGGGUGCGUAGGCGGGUCUUUAAGUCCUGCGUGAAAUCCUGGAGCUCAACUCCAGAACUGCCUUUGAUACUGAAGAUCUUGAGUUCCGUAGAGGUGAGUGGAACUGCCAGUGCACACGUGAAAUUCUUAUAUAUUCGCUAGAACACCCGUGGCGAAGGCAGCUCACUGACCCGAUACUGUCGCUGAUUCACGAAAGCGUGGGGAGGCAACAGGAUUAUAUAUUCUGGUCAUCCUCUCCGGACACAAUGAAUGUAUGCCGUUAAUGGGGUACCUCCCUACCGGGGGAUCUUACGAAUUAAGACUUAUUUCCGGUGAGCACGGGCGGG